UGAGGUAGUAGAUUGAAUAGUUGUGGAGCCUUAUUCUCCCUCUGAGCUAACUAUACAAUCUACUGUCUUUC
rnacentral:pre_miRNA from 1 species